rnacentral:rRNA from 1 species
UACGGGGGGGGCAAGCGUUGUUCGGAAUUACUGGGCGUAAAGGGCUCGUAGGUGGCCAACUAAGUCGGACGUGAAAUCCCUCGGCUUAACCGGGGAACUGCAUCCGAUACUGGAUGGCUUGAGUUCGGGAGAGGGAUGCGGAAUUCCAGGUGUAGCGGUGAAAUGCGUAGAUAUCUGGAGGAACACCGGUGGCGAGGGCGGCAUCCUGGACCGACACUGACGCUGAGGAGCGAAAGCCAGGGGAGCAAACGGG